CACUGAGCACGCCCUCCACAAUCCUACCACGCCCUCCAUUUUCUCCGUCUUCUCCAAGAUAUCAUAGAUUGCGAUUCCGCCUCUUCUCUCGCACUCAUCUUCAGAUUCUCCGUCUUCCUCAACCCUCACUCACCGCUCACCGCUCACCGCUCACGACUUCAACCCAGCCUCACUCCGCAAACUUCAUUCGAGCUGCUGCUACACGCCUCCUCAAAUGCAAUCGUAGCUCCGUCAAUCGUCUUCAUUCGUGAAACAACAGCUCAUCAGGGAGACCUUGAAGAGUCAGAUGAGCAAUUCCAGUCAAGAGAAGAGAGAGGGGUGGUAGGAAAAGGAAGCUCCUUGCUUUUGAGACUUUAAUUCCAUGAGAAAAAGAAUUGUCCCACCCAGAGAUACAGAUCCUAUUACCCUUGUUUCAAAGUUAUAUAUGCAAUGAUAAUCAAAUGAAAGAGUAUGUGUCCAAAUUGGAGAAGGAGUUAGCUGCAACUAGGGCUCAAUUGCAAGCUCAAAAUGAUAUGCAAAAAGCCAUGGGAGGGGCUCUUGUUGCUGUUUUGGAAAAAACUUUUGGUAAAGUUCCUGAACAAUUUGUUACCCUGUUAACCAAACAUCUCAACCAGUAUUCGAUGAAGGAUCACUUGCUGUUGCUGUUGCUGGAUUCAACCCGCACUUGAUGUUGAUGUUGAUGGAGUUUGUCAUUGUUGGUGUUUAGUAUUUUUUUGAUCAAUUGUUGUUGCUUUUAUGCUCAAAUAUUAAUAUAUUAUUGAAUACUAUUGAAUGUUACAAUUUAUUUUCUUUCCAAUUAAAUGUGUAUAUAAAGUUUAUUUGUGAUUGCAA